GAUGAACGCUGGCGGCGUGCCUAAUACAUGCAAGUCGAGCGAACAGACGAGGAGCUUGCUCCUCUGACGUUAGCGGCGGACAGGUGAGUAACACGUGGAUAACCUACCUAUAAGACUGGGAUAACUUCGGGAAACCGGAGCUAAUACCGGAUAAUAUAUUGAACCGCAUGGUUCAAUAGUGAAAGACGGUUUUGCUGUCACUUAUAGAUGGAUCCGCGCCGCAUUAGCUAGUUGGUAAGGUAACGGCUUACCAAGGCAACGAUGCGUAGCCGACCUGAGAGGGUGAUCGGCCACACUGGAACUGAGACACGGUCCAGACUCCUACGGGAGGCAGCAGUAGGGAAUCUUCCGCAAAGGGCGAAAGCCUGACGGAGCAACGCCGCGUGAGUGAUGAAGGUCUUCGGAUCGUAAAACUCUGUUAUUAGGGAAGAACAAAUGUGUAAGUAACUAUGCACGUCUUGACGGUACCUAAUCAGAAAGCCACGGCUAACUACGUG
rnacentral:rRNA from 1 species